AAUUUUUAAGUGUGUUUAAAGCCGAUAUUUUCGAAUAAUUCGAUUUUUCACAACAUUUAAGGAGUAUCCUGCAGUGGCGAUACCAAAAUUGGUUUAUAAAAUGUGAAACUAUAUCGAAAAUUCCAAUUAUAGACAAGAGUAUUAGUUUAAAUAAAUUUCGGUGUAAACAUUUUUGAUUUCAGUCCACCCGCCCUGUAUGUAUAUGAUGUCAAACAUCGUCAUU